UGCCUCAUUAAAAACCUUACCAGAAAAACCCAGUGGGAUAAAACCAUGGUUAAGGGAAAAAGAGUGCAGAACACAUUAAUGUCUCCCUCUCAUAAAUACAACAAAGAAGUUUAAAUAAUCUUUCACAUUAGUUACUCAAAAUCUUUACUUGGCGGUGACUCUGUAGAAAGAUAUGAUAUAUCUUCAUACUUUUCUCCAAAUUAGAAGUUCUUUAGAUAUUAUCUUCAUAUGUAGUUGUAGAAAGAGUCUCCAAUUAUCAAAUUAUAAAAUCAUAAGUUUCUUGUAUGUAUGAAAUCAUAAUACUUAACAAACAGCAUUCUCCACUUGCUAACAUUUUCAAAUGAUCGGAUGAUACUGUUGUUUCUUUAAGAUAUAAAUUGCAUGUUUGACUUUGCUGCAAUAUCUGUAUUUACUAACAUUGACAAAAAUAAAAUACCAUGAUAUAUAUAAUAAGCAAAAUACAUUAGUGUUCUUACCUGACCAAUUCAAAUUGUUCAUAAUUUUCUUGAGGACGUGAUCUUUACUCAUAUCAAGUGACAUCACAAUCAUUUUAUUACAUAAUCAACUAGAUUUGUUCAUAUCGACCUUUAUAUAACAAAUUUUAGAAUCUCAUCAGGUGUUCUAAUAAUAUUUUUACGAUUAUCAUAAAAUUGCUUAUAAGAAAUUCAUUUCCAUAUCUUUAAAAUGGGACAAAUGAUGUCAUCUUUUCAAUAAUUUUGAUAGUGUCUAUUACACAAAUGAAAUCCUUCAGGGAGCUUCAUAUGUCACUAUCAAGUGAGCCAUACAAAUAUAUUGUAGCACAUCUUUCGUAUAAUUUGAGUCUUUCAUGUGCU
rnacentral:lncRNA from 1 species